GCUAUUUUUCCAGGCAAAAUCUGCAAAGGCUGUAUAACAAAAGUAAGAAGUCAGUUUUGAUAAGUGUCAAAAUCUUUAAUUUAUUAACAGAAACAAAGGCCUAAAUAGACACCUUUUUAUUAUUGUUAUUCCUAGCAGAAAGUUCCAAUCCACAAAACAUUUUUUUCCCUAGUUUAGGCAACUAAUUCGGAUGAAAUUAAUUAACAGUAACGUUUCACCUGCCGUGUCACUCAUUUUUCUUAUUUUUUUCAUUGUCUUUUUUUUUUUUUUUUUUUUUUUUUCGUGUGUAAUUUUUUUUAUUUUUUAUUUCCAAGAAGACUUUUUCAGGUAGGUAGUGAAAGAAGUUAAUUUUUCUCAGAUCUUUUUCUCUGAGAUUAUACUUUCAUCAUACCCUGUGCUUCUAUAAAAAAAAAAAAAAUGAUGAAUACAUUAAUUUCAUUAGUUAGCCUUUUUGUUUUUUUAAGAGACACCUAUAAUCAGAAAAAUGGAAAAUAAUCCAUUAGUUUAUUUAUUCACUUAUACUACUGUUUAUCAUAUGUACACAACCAUGUGCAAAAAAUUAUUAAAUGUGCUCUUACUACUUACUGAAAACAAAAAUGUUUUAGGUAUGUUCUGUAACAUGUAUUUGAAAAGUGUUAACAAACCAACUUUUGACUCAAAUUAGUAGUCUUUUUUGCAAGUUUACAUUUAUAUGAUACAAUAUUAACUACUCACAACCUUCUCUCUAUGCAACAUUUUUAUCAACACUUUAAUGAAUUAUAUGAUUUUCUCCAUUUUAUUCACGUUAAUGGAUGGGAAUUUCAUCCAACCUUGGCAGGUGUGGAAACAUGUUUAAAAUAAAAAAUUACUUUGGAAAGGUAGUAGCAAGCUUUACUCUUUGAUAAUAGGAUAAAAACAGAUAGUUAACAUUUUUAGUGUAAUUCAAAACUCAAAGAAAAUACAGGUAAAAAGGUAUAUAUUGCUCUCUGUGAAUAUAGCUUUUCAAACAUUUUGCAUUUUUGAGGAAAUUUGGUCUUCAUAUAUAACAAAAAAAUAUGUACAAAA